UUGCUGGUUGCUUCCAUGGGGCCUGACACAUGUCACUCGGGGGAUUUACUUCCCGGGGAAGCCUCCGUGGAAGGAAAUCAAUUAACUCUUGAAUCCAAUGUCAUCUGUCUGAUAAUGUUUAAAACAAAUGUUAAAAUUUUCAACAACGGAUCUCUUGGUUCUCGCAUCGAUGAAGAACGCAGCGAAAUGCGAUAAGUAGUGUGAAUUGCAGAAUUCAGUGAAUCAUCGAAUCUUUUGAACGCACUUUGCGCCUCCUGGGUAUUCCGGGGGNAUGCCUGUUCGAGCGUCAUUAAAUACCCACUCAAGCUCUUCUGCUUGGUCAUGGUAGAAGGAGUAUGCUUUGCAUCCUCUCUUUCUGAAAUCGAAUGGCGGGACCCGCCUCAUGUGCCUCGCGUAGUAAGUUCAUCUUUUUCGCUGGGAGUGUGAGACAGUCUCGCCAUCAACCCCCAUACUUCUAAGGUUGACCUCGGAUCAGGUAGGGAUACCCGCUGAACUUAAGCAUAUCAAUAAGCGGAGGAAAAGAAACCAACAGGGAUUGCCUCAGUAACUGCGAGUGAAGCGGCAAAAGCUCAAAUUUGAAAUCUGGCGUCUCUGACGUCCGAAUUGUAAUUUGGAGAGGCAACUUCGGUGAUGGCGCCGUCCUAAGUUCCUUGGAACAGGAUGACACAGAGGGUGAGAUCCCCGUACCUGGGUGGCUGUCCAUCGCCAUGUGAAGUGUCUUCGACGAGUCGAGUUGUUUGGGAAUGCAGCUCAAAAUGGGUGGUAAAUUUCAUCUAAAGCUAAAUAUUGGCGAGAGACCGAUAGCGCACAAGUAGAGUGAUCGAAAGAUGAAAAGCACUUUGAAAAGAGAGUUAAAAAGUACGUGAAAUUGUUGAAAGGGAAGCGCUUGAGACCAGACUCGAUUUGUGGUGAUCAGCUGUGCUUCUGUGCAGUGCACUUGCCAUGGAUUGGGCCAGCAUCGGUUCCGACGGUGGGAUAAAAGGUUAAGGAAUGUAGCUUCCUUCGGGGAGUGUUAUAGCCUCAGCCAUAAUGCCACCAGUUGGGACCGAGGACCGCGCUCCGGCUAGGAUGCUGGCGUAAUGGUCUUAAGCGAC
rnacentral:rRNA from 1 species